CUGGGAAAUGUCUGGCUUCUUGGUCUGUUGUCUGAACCUUGUACUUUGGGAGGAGCAGGGAGAGGAAUUUGUCAGUGGUAUCAAUAUUUCCUCUCUCCUGUGCUGGUUUUAGAACUUACAGGCUGAUGUCCUCUCUGACUGUUGGCUUUAUUAAGUCUACUGCAAGUUUAAACAUGAGAUGAUGUGUCCUCUGGCAAGUAGCUAGGUCUUCUCUUCCACAUCUGUUGUGCUCUCCUGAUCCCACUGACGGGUACAUGUUACUCAAGACAUACUUAAGGCUUCCCAAGCCCUUGUGAGCACACCAUAACUUCAGAGCCUUAUUUAUAUUGGUAGCUUCGCCCUGGUUGUCACCCAAUGGGAAGUACUUUUGUAUGCAAUCCCCCAAACAGACAUGAAAGACCAUGUCAGGACAACGGAGGGUUGCAGAGGAUGUUCUUCCUUUGCAUGAUUUACGUCGUGUCUUUGAAAGCGUGUUCCUCCUGUGGCAGUCUGAAGCGAAUAAACAAAGUUCCUGGGGAAAUGGUAUGCUGUGUUCAAACACUUUACUGAACUUUAAUGUUCUGCAAGUUGCAAGGAAAUGACUACAAAAGCCUUGGAAAAGCAAAGGAAGAAAGUUAGCUCAAGGCAAGGUGAUAUUCCCUCAUUAAAAUCUAUUUGUGCAAAGUUAAGAUGUCAAAGAAAUUUCGUUGGUUCCAAGAGGAUAUGAAAGCCCAUGUUAUUAGUGAUCAGAAGGGAUUUGGGAGUCCUGUUUGCCAAAGAGGAGGGAGUCGUGAAAGAAAGGGAAAGAAAAAAGAAAGGAAGGAAAAAAAUAUAUUGUAUUUGAGCAUUUAAUAUCAUCUGGGAAGAAUAAUGAAUGCAACUGCCUUAAAACAACAACUUUGUUUCCCAAGUAUGGCUCACAGAAAUGAUUUUUAAGGAAGAAAAUCUUCACAAUUCAGCUGGAGACUUUACAUGCAGUUCUUGAAGCAGUACUGCUGCCUACACCGAGACCCACACUCCAGUUCCAGGAGCAACCUGUUAUCACUUUGCCGAUUUUUAUGGAAGCAGUGCAUCAUGUUCAGCCUCUUCUUCCUCCUGGGGCUCAGAGCAGAGACCCUGUUUUUCCUUGAUCUCCCAUCUGCCUACCUGCUUCAGCUGAUACCAUCAGCUGCUGUCUCUGGACUUGGCAGGGAGAUGUCUUCCACAGGUUGGUGCCAAGAGUUGCUGCUGCUGUUGUACAUUAUUCAGGACCUAGUUGUGUCGGCGGGAGAGGAGAUCCCAUCCCCCUGCCCCUCUGCACUGCUUUGGCACCGCAAACCGCCGCCUGAGGCAAACCCAGAACGUCCUUGUUAACCAGCUCCUUCGGCUCUAGCGCACAGCAUCCACCGCAGCUGCUCGCGUAAGUGCCUGGGGUGGCCACGGUGGCAAGAUCGCGGUUGGCUGCCGGUGCCCUACGUCCGUCGGCGGCCAACCGCGCACGCUGGCGAAGAGCGCGAGAACAGGGCAAGCGUGCGAUGCUGCUCCGUCCGAAAAGCCUGAGCUUGCCGCGGGGCUGCGCGUCCCCUCGCCCCCCCAACACCAGGAUGACGUGGCGACGGACUGGGGGGCAUCAGGCUCCGGGCAUGCCUUGGCAUCGGUGUCUCACUUUGGUUAAAACCCGCUGCCUGAGCCUGUAUGGAGGAAGAGGUGCGACCCAUGGGACGUGUGCGGGCCCCAGGCACCCUGCUCCUGAGGUUUGUCCCUCUUGCACACGUUCUCCUGUUUUCAGCAGCUCUCCCAAACGCUGAGAGCAGCAGUGAUGUGUUUUACAGACCCACUGAGUGUGAGGAGAAGUGACAAGAAUUUCCUAUAAAUAUGACUCUAAUCACACAAACGUGUAAACCCCUUAGGAGCCAUCCAGGUGACUUUCACACUUUCUGAUAGUUUUUGUUGGUAGUGGCGCUUUUUUUUUUUUUGGCUAAUUUUUACAUCUCUGCAACUUCUGGGCUGCGCCUUACCUUUUUUUUUCGUGUACACAGCUUAGGCUAUGUCCUCAGAAACACAAAAUGGAUCCAAAUGAAACCCUUCACAGCAAUGCAGCCCUUCAGAGCCUUGAAUUAGCUGGUAAUCCUCACGCUCUCGCUCAUGGCCAGCGAUGUAAAACGAUGCUGUCUCUGCUAAAAUAAGCGGAAAACAAGCAAAAGAGUCAAGCUACCUUGUGUUGCCCAGUAACACCAUCAACUUCAGCGGGCUUACAUCGGGGGUUAAUUUGGUUUAGAGAGAUUAUAUUUUUGAAAAAGAAGCCUCCAUUUGGGUACAAAUCUGAUAACAGCACCCAUACCUCUGAUUGAACUGCAAAGUCUUUUGCUGUUGC
rnacentral:lncRNA from 1 species